AACGCACAUUGCGCCCUCUGGUAUUCCGGGGGGCAUGCCUGUUCGAGCGUCAUUGCAACCCCUCAAGCACGGCUUGUGUGUUGGGCCAUCGUCCCUCUUUGUGGACGGGCCUGAAAUGCAGUGGCAGCACCGAGUUCUGGUGUCUGAGUGUAUGGGAAUCUCUUAUCGCUCAAAGACCCAAUCGGCGCUGAUGUCAGAUUUUUAUCCAGUUUGACCUCGGAUCAGGUAGGAGUACCCGCUGAACUUAA
rnacentral:misc_RNA from 2 species